AUUGAACGCUGGCGGCAGGCCUAACACAUGCAAGUCGAGCGAGGGGCGGACGGGAGAGAAAUGUAUGGGGAUUUGCCCGAUAGAGGGGGUUAACUACUGGAACCGGUGGUUAAUACCGCAUACUAUCGGAGGAUCCCAUAGGGGAUUGGCUAGUGGGUGGGGUAAAGGUUCACCGAGGAGACGAUGUCGAGCUGGUCUGAGAGGAUGAUCAGCCACACGGGGACAGAGACACGGCCCAGACGCCUACGGGAGGAAGCAGGGGAGAAGAGUGGACCAUGGGCGAAAGCCUGAUUCAGCCAUGCCGCGUGUAUGAAGAAGGGCUUAGGGUUUUAAGGUACUUUCAGCGGGGAGGCGUUACCCGCAGAAGAAGCGCCGGCUAACUACGUGCCAGCAGCCGCGGUAAUAC
rnacentral:rRNA from 1 species